AUUGAACGCUGGCGGCAGGCCUAACACAUGCACGUCGAACGAGUGGCGGAAGGGUGAGUAAUGUCUGGGAAACUGCCUGAUGGAUGGGGAUCACUACUGACAACGGUAGCUAAUACCGCAUACCAUCAGAUGUGCCCAGCUGGGAUUAGCUUGUUGGUGGGGUAACGGCUCACCAGGGCGACGAUCCCUAGCUGGUCUGAGAGGAUGACCAGCCACACGGGAACUGAGACACGGUCCAGCCUCCUACGGGAGUCAGCAGUGGGGAAUAUUGCACAAUGGGCGCAAGCCUGAUGCAGCCAUGCCGCGUGUACGAAGAAGGCCUUCGGGUUGUAAAGUACUUUCAGCGGGGAGGCGUUACCCGCAGAAGAAGCACCGGCUAACUCCGUGCCAGCAGCCGCGGUAAUA
rnacentral:rRNA from 1 species